rnacentral:lncRNA from 1 species
AAUUAUUUACGUUACGUUGACAAUGUAUAUUAUUUAUUAAACUCUUACGUUUUAUUGUGCUUUCUAUUCUGGCUUUGAAAUUUGGGGGCUAAGAAAAAGGUUGGGAUGUUCAUUGUUCAACUAAUUUGAGAUAUUAGACGAUAUUGAUGUAAUGAAAUUGGAAGAUGGUGUAAUUCAAAACAUGGUAAAGUCUCUGAUUUGUAUUCAUAAGUUGCAAUCCUUGAUUGUUUUUCAUUGUAUUGAGUUCUUUUUCAUAAUGUUGGCAAUUUUGACAAAUCUACAAUGAUUUUAACUCCACCAUAUCCAUACUUGGUCACCCAUGGAAGAAGUUUGAAAAGAUAAUUCAGCAAUUAUUUGAAAAUCUUUCCUCAUGUUGGGAACCAAAAUGAGGUACAAGAAGCAAUGUAAAGUGUACUUCAAACAAAACUUGAAUUGUACGAGUAGGGUUAAAAUAGUAAAUUCACUUUAUUCACUCUCUCACCUCUGCUUCUACUCUUUCUUCUAUGCCUGACAACUUUCAUGGCAAAUUGACAACCAUUUUAAACCUUCAACGGAGUUAAACUUUACUUCAGAGUCUCACUCCAACUUCUCAAGUUCUUUCAAUUGUUUACCUGGUAAGUAUUCUUGUGUGGUAUUGGUCCUCUUUUCAUGCGAAUCUUUACUCUUUUUUUCCCAUUAUUGUGGUUAUACUUCCUAUUAUUCUACUGAUUUUUCUUAUUUUAGGUCUUCCACAAUUUUUCUUGGAUUCUUUUGAGUUCUGAUAGAUGCCUCUUGAAAUAUAUGCAUAAUUUUGUUUUCAAUAUUUUGCAGUUUCUAGCUCUAAAAUACUAAAAAUAUUAGUAAAAUCUUCUUAUCAAUAUAUGAUACGUUUUGCAGAUAAUUAAUGACUUGAUGCGGUCGCAUGUUUGACGAAAUUUCCCGUGAAGGUAAGACUUGUGUAUUAUGAAGAGAGAUUAGUUAUAAGAGUAGAUUGUUUUGGCAGAUGAUUCAAGGUGCUAAUGAAGUUGAACGGUGGGCUUAGGUGAAUAGGCAUUUUCCCUUAUAAAAUCUUUUUUUCAUAUGGUAUUUUCCCCAAAAAAUAUUGAGAAAGAAUUUGAGUUGCCGAACUCUUUGACGCUGCCAUGAAAUUAGAAGUGAUAACGUAAUGCUGAAAAUUCAGGGUAAGCUUUCAGCAUUGAUCUUUUUGUUGUUUGAAUUACAUCUUCGAAAAAAAUUCAGCUACUAAUAUAGUAAGUUGAGGUGGUAUUCAAAGAAACAUUAUUUAAAUUACAAAGUCAGAAUAACAAGCAAGUUGAAUCAGGCGAAAAGGUUGAUUUCAGGCUCACCAAUUUCCAAGUCCUUUAAGGUACCAUUCCACAUUUUCUUAAGAACCUUUAAAAUUUUUGGCAAUAGACCGUGAUGUUGGUGUUGCAUUUAUUUUUAGCAGAUGUUCUUGGAUAAAAGCUGAAACUUUAAUAUUGAAAAUUCUGUUACUAGAUUGAGUUCUAGAAGUCUGUCAUAUGAUCUUAUGCUUUCUCAAAGUUUUUGUUUCAUGUGUUCAUAUUAGUUAGAUACAAUUGAUAAUGUUAAAAACAUUUUUCAUCUGAUCAAUGCAGAAAAAAAUGAACAUAAGAAAUCUAGCAAAUAAGUAAUAAUGUUGACGCUAGAAAAUUUUUGAGAAAUGAGAGAGUAAUAAAAUGUCCGGGUAAUGGAAGAAUCCUAUAAGACUAUUAAUUUAACGCAGAAACAAACUCUUUUCUUUAAUCUUGAGUUUGUUGCUCAAGAGUAGCUACUAACUCCUAAACUUUUUUAUAUCAUAUGUGAAACAGGAGUAGUAAUUUGAGUAUGCAAUAUAAUAAUAUUGUGUUAAGAGUGUUGUCAUAUGUUUCUUAUAGAGUAAUAUCGACUUCAUGUUUUCUCUUUUAUUUGUAGCAUAAUAUUCUUUCAUCAGAAUUUUGUGUCAUGAUCAUUAAUGGGUUCCUUGUGCUUUGCUUAUUGCAUUUGAAGGUUUGGCAAUGAAAUAGAUGAAAAAAUGGAGGUUUUUGCUUGGUCCAAGUAUGAGCUCUAAAAUGUCUGUGAUUAUCUUUCGCAAACAUUUUUUAGCUAAUUUAUUCUCACAUUCAUUUUUU